GACGAACGCUGGCGGCGUGCUUAACACAUGCAAGUCGAACGGAGUGGCGAACGGGUGAGUAACACGUGGGUGAUCUGCCUUGCACUUCGGGAUAAGCUUGGGAAACUGGGUCUAAUACCGGAUAGUGCAAGAUGAGCUCGCGGCCUAUCAGCUUGUUGGUGGGGUAAUGGCCUACGAAGGCGUCGGCGGGUAGCCGGCCUGAGAGGGUGUACGGCCACAUUGGGACUGAGUUACGACCCAGACGCCUACGGGAGGCAGGGGUGGGAACUAUUGCACACUGGGCGGAGGCCUGAUGGAGCGACUCCGCGUGGGAGAUGAAGGCCUUCGGGUUGUAAACUCCUUUCGACAGGGACGCGGUACCUGUAUAAGAAGCACCGGCUAACUACGUGCCAGCAGCCGCGGUAAUUC
rnacentral:rRNA from 1 species